UCAGUGUAAUGAUCCAGCAAACAACGAGACAGUGCUUAUUCCUACAACCCAGAAUGUCAAAAUUAAUGCCACUAAGAUGUUUAUGCGAAGCUGUUCUCAUGCUGACUUCCAUAGUGUAAAGAACAGCCUACCUUGCCUCUCCGAUUCUAGUUUCGGAGACAGUGAAGCCUCAAAUUUGGUGAGAAAUGAAAAGGUUGUUGAAGGCAUCCUAGUGAUGGAGAAAACCAAAACUGCAAAGAUUGUCUGUGAAGACGAGUUUCUGCAGACAUUGCAUGUGGAGGAACACAAAGUUCAGUUUGAAUACUCUUGCCCUGCAGAAAAGUGCAGGGAGCAAGUAUCCUGUCAAUCAAACAGCGGACCGCCACCGUCCGAUGGGAACUUUUCAGAGACGUGCUAGACUACAGCAUUCAAUAGCAAAUGAUACAUUGAGUGAGCCACAUUCUGCUUCACUUAUUACUGGCUAAAAGGAGAAACCGUGUCAAUUGCAAACAUACCAGCUAUGCUUCUGACUCUCUCGAGCUAGAUUAUGUACUUGUUCUAAUGAAUAUUUUCUUACAUGACCAGAAAGGGGGAAAAACAGUUCAGGUAGAUUAGCAAUAUAACUCUUCUGUACUUGGGCACCACUCACUAGUUGAUGAAAAGCUGGUCAGAGAUCUCAAUCAUGAGACAUGGAUUUGAGUGUCUCGAGUCGACUCACUUGGCACAUAAGCUGCAUAGAAAUGAUUGGUCUCUGCAGUGAAACCUUUUAUAUCAACCAAGCCAUGUUACACUGAUACUAAUUGUUACGAAAAGGUGGAAUGAUUUAUGACUGAAGCUUUUACUAAGCCGAGGGAGCCAAUUGAGAUUUUGUUCACCUUGUGGAGUGCGAAUUCUGUGGAUGGAAGUAUAAUGACACCCCCCUCUCUCUCUCUCUCUCUCUCUCUCUCUUUUGGUGGUGGGUUGGUGUUGUUGGUGUGGUUGGAGGAAAACAUCUGUUUUGUACCAUGGCAAGUGUGGGCAAACUAAUAUAUUCAUGUUGAAAUAGGAGACACAUGGACUCGGUUGAUAUAUGUAUACAUUUGAUUAUGAUUAGCCCUCGUUUGAAUGGUUUAGCUGAAUGAUGGGCUGAUUCUAACUAUUUUAUUCCACUGAUGUAUAAAGAUAUUCUGGGCGCAGCAAUUCUCCCAAUA